rnacentral:rRNA from 1 species
AAUAAAAAUUAUUUAUUUAUUAUAUUUUAUUUAUAGUUUUAUAUUAAAAAUAUUUAUUAGUUUUUUUAGUAUGUUAAUAGAAAAAAUAUAUUUUAUUAUAGUGAAUUAGUAUUGUGAAAGAAUAUUGAAAUAAUUUGAAAAUUAUUUAUUUUAAAAGAAGAUUUUAUUUAUUGUACCUUGUGUAUCAGGGUUUAUUAAUUAAAUUUUAUAAAUUUUAAAUUUUUCGAUUUUAAAAGAGUUAAUAUAUUAUGAAAUUUAAUGUAAUAAAAUUAUUUUUAAUAAUAUAUUGGAAGUGAAAAGUAAUUCGGUUUUAAAGGUAUCUAGUUUUUUAAGAAAUAAAUUUAAUUUAUAAAAUUAUAAUUAUUUAUAUUUUUUAGUAAGUUAAAUAAUUAAUAAUUUUAAAUAUUUUAUGGGAUAAGUUAUGAAGUAAAUGAUUAAAAAUAUUUAUUUAAUUUAAUAAUUGUAAGCUUAGAAGUAGUUAUUAUUAGUGAUAGUGUUAUAAUUAAUAUUAUUAAAAAAUUAUUUAUUUUAUUUUAAUUAAUUUAUUAAAAUAUUUAUUUUAAUAUAAAAAAUAAAGUAAUAAUGAUAAAAUUAGCAUAUUUAAUUUAUUUAUAUAUGUAUUUAGUUGAUAAGUUAAUAUAAAGAAUUAGGCAAAUAAAUAUUCGCUCGUUUAACAAAAACAUCUCUUUUUGAAUUUAAUAAAAAGUUUAACCUGCCCACUGAAAAAUUUAAAUGGCCGCAGUAUUUUGACUGUGCAAAGGUAGCAUAAUCAUUAGUCUUUUAAUUGAGGGCUGGAAUGAAUGGUUGGACGAAAUAUUAACUGUUUCAUAUUAAAUUAUAAUAAAAUUUUAUAUUUUAGUAAAAAAGCUAAGAUAUUAUUAAAAGACGAGAAGACCCUAUAAAUCUUUAUAUUUACUGAGUUUAUAAAAAUUAGAAAUUAAAUUUUAUUUAUUUAUAUAAAUAUUUUAUUGGGGUGAUAUUAAAAUUUAAUUAACUUUUAUUUAUUUAUACAUUAAUUUAUGAUUUUUUGAUCUUUUAAUAUUGAUUAAUAGAAUAAGUUACUUUAGGGAUAACAGCGUAAUUUUUUUGGAGAGUUCAUAUUGAUAAAAAAUAUUGCGACCUCGAUGUUGGAUUAAGAAAUAAAUUUGGGUGAAGAAGCUUAAAAUUUAAGUCUGUUCGACUUUUAAAUUCUUACAUGAUCUGAGUUCAAACCGGUGUAAGCCAGGUUGGUUUCUAUCUUUAGUUAAUUGAAAUAUUUUAGUACGAAAGGAUCAAAUAUUUAAUAUAUAAUUAUUUUAUUUAUGAAUAUUAUUAAU